rnacentral:rRNA from 1 species
UGUAACAAGGUUUCCGUAGGUGAACCUGCGGAAGGAUCAUUACCGAGUGCGGGUCCUUUGGGCCCAACCUCCCAUCCGUGUCUAUUAUACCCUGUUGCUUCGGCGGGCCCGCCGCUUGUCGGCCGCCGGGGGGGCGCCUUUGCCCCCCGGGCCCGUCCCGCCGGAGACCCCAACACGAACACUGUCUGAAAGCGUGCAGUCUGAGUUGAUUGAAUGCAAUCAGUUAAAACUUUCAACAAUGGAUCUCUUGGUUCCGGCAUCGAUGAAGAACGCAGCGAAAUGCGAUAACUAAUGUGAAUUGCAGAAUUCAGUGAAUCAUCGGUCUUUGAACGCACAUUGCGCCCCCUGGUAUUCCGGGGGGCAUGCCUGUCCGAGCGUCAUUGCUGCCCUCAAGCCCGGCUUGUGUGUUGGGUCGCCGUCCCCCUCUCCGGGGGGACGGGCCCGAAAGGCAGCGGCGGCACCGCGUCCGAUCCUCGAGCGUAUGGGGCUUUGUCACAUGCUCUGUAGGAUUGGCCGGCGCCUGCCGACGUUUUCCAACCAUUUUUUCCAGGUUGACCUCGGAUCAGGUAGGGAUACCCGCUGAACUUAAGCAUAUCAUA